UUUUUUUUUUUUUUUUUUUUGUUGGCAGCCAAGGACAGUAUUUCAUUUACUGACACUGCUUUUUUCUUUCUCUUUGCAGUCAGAUACAGGUACUGCUUGGAUACAUGUGAUGAAUGAAAGAGCGAUUGCCACAGUUCCACAUCAACAACAAUGUACUUCCCGUUUUAGGCACAGUUAUGCUGUGGCAUCUAGAUAAAAAGAGGAUAUCGUCUGAAGGGUCAUGACCUGCACAUCAUCCUAGGCUGGACACAGGACUUUGGAGCUCCAAAAUGCAGGCAGAGUUCUUCAGGAAGCUGGAAUACUUGGCUGAGUUCUUGCUUUUGUCCUGCCUGGGACCUACACCACCAGGAGGAGCUGCUGAAGAGCAUCGUCGAGGCACCAGUGGGACCCAUGGAGCGGUGAUAUUCUUUUUAUUCUGUCUCUGUCACUCUUUGUCUCCCCAACUAUUUUCCAUUUUCUUCUUUCUCCUUUUCUCU